rnacentral:rRNA from 1 species
AGCGAACGCUGGCGGCAGGCUUAACACAUGCAAGUCGAGCGGGCAUCCUUGUGGUGUCCGCGGCAGACGGGUGAGUAACGCGUGGGAACGUGCCCUUCGGUUCGGAAUAACUCAGGGAAACUUGAGCUAAUACCGGAUACGUGCGAGAGCAGAAAGGUUUAUCUGCCGAAGGAUCGGCCCGCGUCUGAUUAGCUAGUUGGUGAGGUUAUGGCUCACCAAGGCGACGAUCAGUAGCUGGUCUGAGAGGAUGAUCAGCCACACUGGGACUGAGACACGGCCCAGACUCCUACGGGAGGCAGCAGUGGGGAAUAUUGGACAGUGGGGGCAACCCUGAUCCAGCCAGGCCGCGUGAGUGAUGUCGGCCUUAGGGUUGUAAAGCUCUUUUCUUCGGGACGAUAAUGACGGUACCGGAGGAAUAAGCCCCGGCUAACUUCGUG